UGAGCGCUGAUCGCUUAAAGGGCUAGCUUGAAAUUUGUGCGCUUUCCUAAGGCAAUUUUCUCGUCUUCAACCGCUCAAGAACUGGAAGGUCCUCCUGUCUGACAGUUGUUUCUUUUGGUUUUGGUAAGGUCCAGGAAGGUUCGGAUUAAAGAUUUUAUUUAUUACAUUUUAGGAGAGACUGUUGGUGCAUACUGUUUAAAGCUAGAAGUGUGGCCGAAAAUGAUGGUGCACCCCUUUAAUCCCAGUAAGAAGCAGAGGCAGGCGGAUUUCUGAGUUCGAGGACAGCCUGGUUUACAGAGUGAGUUUCAGGACAGCCAGGGCUACGCAGAGAAACCCUGUUUUGAAAAAACAAAAAAGAAAAAACAAAUAAAAAAUAAAAAGCUAGAAGUGUAAAGUGUUUCAUCCGGAUACGUGGGUCACGUCUGUAAUCCCAGCAUUUGGGAAGGUGAAAGAGGAUUGCCGUGUUUUGUAGGCCAGCUUAGGCAACAAGAGAAGACUCUUC
rnacentral:lncRNA from 1 species